rnacentral:rRNA from 1 species
CCUACGGGAGGCUGCAGUGGGGAAUAUUGGGCAAUGGGCGCAAGCCUGACCCAGCAACGCCGCGUGAAGGAAGAAGGCCUUCGGGUUGUAAACUUCUUUUCGCAGGGACGAAGCAAGUGACGGUACCUGCGGAAUAAGUCUCGGCUAACUACGAGCCAGCCGCCGCGGUAAUACGGAGGGGGCAAGCGUUAUCCGGAUUUACUGGGUGUAAAGGGCGUGUAGGCGGGUAUGCAAGUCAGAUGUGAAAACCCGGGGCUCAAACUGGGACCUGCAUUUGAAACUGGUGGUCUUGAGUACUGGAGAGGCAGACGGAAUUCCUGGUGUAGCGGUGAAAUGCGUAGAUAUUAGGAGGAACACCGGUGGCGAAGGCGGUCUGCUGGACAGCAACUGACGCUGAGGCGCGAAAGCGUGGGGAGCAAACAGGAUUAGAUACCCCUGUAGUC